GCAGUGCCUGGCCACCGGCGACGCGGCCGGCGCCUCCGAGGCGCUGGGGCGCCCGUUCACCGUGCGCGGCACCGUG
rnacentral:tRNA from 1 species